UCCCUGGUGGUCCAGUGGUUAAGACUUUACACUUCCACUGCAAGGGAUGUGGGUUCGGUCCCUUCUCAGCGAA
rnacentral:tRNA from 1 species